GGGUUGUGAGGUUAAGCGACUAAGCGUACACGGUGGAUGCCCUGGCAGUCAGAGGCGAUGAAGGGCGUGCUAAUCUGCGAUAAGCGCCGGUAAGGUGAUAUGAACCGUUAUAACCGGCGAUACCCGAAUGGGGAAACCCAGUGUGACUCGUCACACUAUCAUUAACUGAAUCCAUAGGUUAAUGAGGCGAACCGGGGGAACUGAAACAUCUAAGUACCCCGAGGAAAAGAAAUCAACCGAGAUUCCCCCAGUAGCGGCGAGCGAACGGGGAGGAGCCCAGAGCCUGAAUCAGCAUGUGUGUUAGUGGAAACGUCUGGAAAGGCGCGCGAUACAGGGUGACAGCCCCGUACACAAAAGCGCAUGUGCUGUGAGCUCGAUGAGUAGGGCGGGACACGUGGUAUCCUGUCUGAAUAUGGGGGGACCAUCCUCCAAGGCUAAAUACUCCUGACUGACCGAUAGUGAACCAGUACCGUGAGGGAAAGGCGAAAAGAACCCCGGCGAGGGGAGUGAAAAAGAACCUGAAACCGUGUACGUACAAGCAGUGGGAGCCCCACCACUAAGCCAGUGGUGAACUCCACAUACGCAUCCUUUGCUGAGGAUACGGUUAACGGAGCGAAAGCGACGUUCAACCGAAAAAGAAGCAGAGGGGGCUUAGUGGUGG
rnacentral:rRNA from 1 species